rnacentral:rRNA from 1 species
UAGGGGAAUUACCUGGAAAGGUAAGCCAAAGAGGGUGAAAGCCCCGUACCCGAAAUAGCAUAGGUGGGACUAAGCAGAGGCCUUGCGAGUAGCUCGGGACACGUGUUAUCCUGAGUGAAGAUGGGAGGACCACCUUCCAAGGCUAAAUACUCCUGCCAGACCGAUAGCGAACCAGUACCGUGAGGGAAAGGUGAAAAGAACCCCAGUGAGGGGAGUGAAAUAGAACCUGAAACCGCUUGCCUACAAUCAUUCGGAGCCCUAUGUCCUUUGGACAGGGUGACGGACUGCCUUUUGCAUAAUGAGCCUGCGAGUUGUGGUCACCGGCGAGGUUAACUCGAGAGAGGGAGCCGAAGCGAAAGCGAGUCUGAAAAGGGCGCAUAGUCGGUGGCUGCAGACCCGAAGCCGGGUGAUCUAUCCAUGGGCAGGUUGAAGUGGGGGUAAGACCCCAUGGAGGACCGAACCGGUGGGCGUUGAAAAGCCCUCGGAUGACCUGUGGAUAGGGGUGAAAGGCCAAUCAAACUCGGUGAUAGCUGGUUCUCUCCGAAAUGCAUUUAGGUGCAGCGUCAAGAAGUAGCCGUAGGGGGUAGAGCACUGAUAGGGCUAGGGCGGCCCACAGCUGUACCAAACCCUGUCAAACUCCGAAUACCUACGGUGUAAUCUUGGCAGUGAGGCGUAGGGUGAUAAAAUCCUAUGUCGAGAGGGGAACAACCCAGACUACCAGCUAAGGUCCCAAAGUGAUGGCUAAGUGGAAAAGGAGGUCUUCCUGCUUAGACAACCAGGAGGUUGGCUUAGAAGCAGCCAUCCUUUAAAGAAAGCGUAACAGCUCACUGGUCGAGCGGGGAGGCGCCGAAAAUAUAACGGGGCUAAAGCCAUCCACCGAAGCUGUAGACUCUCUGUGGAAGAGAGUGGUAGGAGAGCGUUGAUGACAGCGUAGAAGCUGUACCGGUGAGGAGCAGUGGAGCGUCAUCAAGUGAGCAUGCAGGCAUGAGUAGCGAUAAAGUGGGUGAGAAUCCCACUCGCCGAAAGCCUAAGGUUUCCUACACGAUGCUCGUCAGUGUAGGGUUAGUCGGGACCUAAGACGAGGCCGAAAGGCGUAGUCGAUGGGAAAACGGUUAAUAUUCCGUUACCUACUAACAGCGAGGCGAAGGGGGGACGCCUAGGGUUAGCCGAGGUCACUGAUGGAAUAGUGGCUCGAAGGGUGUAGGAGGUGCGGUAGGCAAAUCCGCCGCACAAAACUCCGAGACCUGACAGGCUCCCAAAGCUCUUCGGAGCGGAGGGGGAAUCGGUGAUACCGUCGGGCCGAGAAAAGCCUCUAAGCCGUUUGAGCUGUUAGUAGCCCGUACCGCAAACCGACACAGGUAGGCGGGAUGAGUAUUCUAAGGCGCGUGGAAGAACCCUCCCUAAGGAACUCGGCAAACUGGCACCGUAACUUCGGGAUAAGGUGUGCCCCGAGUAGGUGAAGGAGCUAGCCUCUGGAGCCGAAAGGGGUCGCAGCGCAGCGCUCUUGCCGACUGUUUACCAAAAACACAGCACUCUGCUAACUCGUAAGAGGAAGUAUAGGGUGUGACGCCUGCCCGGUGCCGGAAGGUUAAGGGGAUCCGUUAGCCGUAAGGCGAAGCGGUGAACCGAAGCCCCGGUAAACGGCGGCCGUAACUAUAACGGUCCUAAGGUAGCGAAAUUCCUUGUCGGUUAAAUACCGACCUGCAUGAAUGGCGUAACGAGUGAGGGGCUGUCUCAGGGAGGGAUCCAGUGAAAUUGUAGUGGAGGUGAAAAUUCCUCCUACCCGCGGCAAGACGGAAAGACCCCGUGGACCUUUACUACAGCUUGGCAUUGUAGGUGGGAUAUCCAUGUGCAGGAUAGGUGGGAGGCUGAGAAGCCCGGGCGCCAGCUCGGGUGGAGCCGACCUUGAGAUACCACCCUUGGAUAUCCUGCCUACUAACCCGCAGGAGUAAUCCUCCUGGGGGACAGUGCCUGGUGGGUAGUUUGACUGGGGCGGUCGCCUCCUAAAGAGUAACGGAGGCUCACAAAGGUUGGCUCAAGGCGGUUGGAAAUCGCCUGAAGAGUGUAAAGGCACAAGCCAGCCUGACUGCGAGACACACAGGUCGAGCAGAGACGAAAGUCGGUCUUAGUGAUCCGGUGGCGCUGAGUGGAAGGGCCAUCGCUCAAAGGAUAAAAGGUACCCCGGGGAUAACAGGCUGAUCUCCCCCGAGAGCUCACAUCGACGGGGAGGUUUGGCACCUCGAUGUCGGCUCAUCGCAUCCUGGGGCUGGAGCAGGUCCCAAGGGUAUGGCUGUUCGCCAUUUAAAGCGGUACGCGAGCUGGGUUCAGAACGUCGUGAGACAGUUCGGUCCCUAUCUGCCGUGGGCGUAGGAAGGUUGAGGAGAGCUGACCCUAGUACGAGAGGACCGGGUUGGACGAGCCACUGGUGUACCAGUUGUCCUGCCAAGGGCAGUGCUGGGUAGCCAAGCUCGGAAGGGAUAACCGCUGAAAGCAUCUAAGCGGGAAGCCCACUCCAAGAUGAGCCUUCCCAUGAGGGUGCAGGAAGACUACCUGCUUGAUAGG